GUGUUGAUGCAGAUGAAGUGAAGUCAGUGUCAGUGAUGGAGGGAGAUUCUGUCACUCUACACACUGAUGUUACACACAUUCAGAUACAUGAUCGCAUACUGUGGAUGUUUUGAAUUUCACUACAAUCUUAUAGCUGAAAUCCAUGUACAGAAUGUUAAUCACAGACUCUGUUGUUUAUACACUAGUGACCAUCAGUGACAGAAGAUCUUCAUACAAGAGAUUCAAAUUUACUGUCUAUGUCAUUCAGGAAGUAACUUCAGAUCAUGAUGUGUUACCACUGCCAGUUAUGAUCUUUUUAAUGUGACCUGUGAUGUGCUGUCUGUGUUUCUGCUUUCUGUGCUGAGAAAAUCAUAUCAGCAUAUGGACAGAAGAAUGAGAUAGG